GACGGAAGGUGCAAGCGUUGCUCGGAAUCACUGGGCGUAAAGGGUGCGUAGGCGGCCUUAUAAGUCAGUGCUGAAAUACUCUAGCUUAACUAGAGGGGUGGCAUUGAUACUGUAGGGCUUGAGUAUAGUCGAGGUAGGCGGAAUUGACGGUGUAGCGGUGAAAUGCUUAGAUAUCGUCAAGAACACCGAUAGUGUAGACAGCUUACUAGGCUAUAACUGACGCUGAGGCACGAAAGUGUGGGGAUCAAACAGG
rnacentral:rRNA from 1 species